AGUGAACGCUGGCGGUAGGCCUAACACAUGCAAGUCGAACGGCAGCACAGUAAGAGCUUGCUCUUACGGGUGGCGAGUGGCGUACGGGUGAGGAAUACAUCGGAAUCUACUUUUUCGUGGGGGUUAACGUAGGGAAACUUACGCUAAUACCGCAUACGACCUACGGGUGAAAGCAGGGGAUCUUCGGACCUUGCGCGAUUGAAUGAGCCGAUGUCGGAUUAGCUAGUUGGCGGGGUAAAGGCCCACCAAGGCGACGAUCCGUAGCUGGUCUGAGAGGAUGGUCAGCCACACUGGAACUGAGACACGGUCCAGACGCCUGAGAGAGGGAGCAGUGGGGAAUAGUAGACAGUGGGCGCAAGCCUGAUCCAGCGAGAGCGCGUGGGUGAAGAAGGCGUUGGGGGUGUAAAGACGGUUUGUUGGGAAAGAAAAGCAGCAGGUUAAGACGCAGCGGUUCUGACGGUACCGAAAGAAUAAGCACCGGCUAACUUCGUG
rnacentral:rRNA from 1 species